rnacentral:lncRNA from 1 species
CUUUUCUUUAGAAAAUAUACAUAAAGCUUGAUUAAUCCAUUUUUAAAUAUGUUUCACAGUAGAAAUAGAAUUGUGCUAGUUGAGCCACUGAGGCAGACAAAAGAUCGGUAUUUGGCCAGAUGUCACAGAGAAGAGAUGAUUCUGUGUUCAAAGAACAAGGUCACCAAAUUGCUCUUCCUUGCUUUUGUUCACUCUAAAAAUUUCGCACUAAUAGAACAUGUGGUUGAUGUACCUUGGGAUCAAAAUUCUUGCAUUUCUCGGCAUCACAUAUGCAUAAAAAAUACAUUUUGCCCAAAGAUAGUUUGUUCAUAUAAGGCUGAAGUGUCAAAUAAGUGGUGCAGAAAUUAUAGGAUUAUAUUAUAAUAUUUUAUCAUGGGGUAAUCAAAGAAGACAGAUAUUAAUCCUUCAAGUGCUUUGUGGAAGCUAUUUAGCUUUUCUUUCUUUCUUUUUUUAAUUGUAAGGAUUCCAAUUCCACUAUGAGGCAAAAUUUGAAGGGCGAUGCUUUACUUUCUUUCAUAAUAGUUGUUUGAAAGUUCUAAUUUUAAUCUCAUUGAGUUUUAUAUUUUGAGGCAAUAUAUAUAAAUCUUUUGAGGCUAUAUAUAUAUAUAUAUAUAAAUCUCAUUGAGUUUUAUAUUUUGAGAACAAUAAACUCUUGUUUUAGGAGCAACAACAGUGGCUGGUUUAAUUUUAUCCUAUCUUUUUGUUCCCUUUAGCUGAGAGAGAGGGAGGGAGGGAGAGAGAGGGAGAGGGAGAGAGAGAGACAGAGAGAGAGAGAAUACAAGUGGUGUGAUGAGUAGAAUAAUAGAAUCACAGAAUUUCAAAAUUAGAGGGGACCUUGAAGACCAUCUAAUCCUUUUUAACCAGAUGCAGAGAUCUUCUCUAUAAUACCUUUACACAGCAAUAAUUCAUGUAUGAUAAAUUGAGAAACUCACUGUUAAUAUAACUUCCUUGAACUGGGCUAUCAGCCUUUUUUACUUCCUUAUGCUGGUUAGCAACCUGCUAAUUGCUAUGACUAUUUCAAGCCUAGAUAAAUUUUUGGUUAGCUGGCAUAAAAGAUGGGUCAAAUAUUUUGACUGCAAUAGAUAACAACCAAAAUGAGAGUUAAAUAAAGUACACCAGAGAUUCCAGAGUUGGAACCCUGUUAUCUGAAAAGAAAUACCUUCCAUAAUCAGAAGCAUUAAGUCAGCCAUUAUAUUGUCUCCAGCUUUUCAGUCCACACUUACAUAGCACCCCUCAUUCAUAUUCUUAUUUAUGCACCUGUUUGACCUUGGAGAGACCUCUAAAUUGCUUCCGAAUCUUUGUUUACCAGUUUUAAAUGGAAGAUGAUAAUCCCUAUAUUAUAGUUCUCAUGGGGUUGUGAGGAUAAAAUAUGUGAAAUUCAAAAAUGUUAAUGAGCUCUGCAAGUAAUAUACAAACACCAUCUGCAACCAAAACCUAUAUUCUUCAAAGAUUAGAAUAUUUUAUAAUCUUUGAAAAAAUUAGAGGAUUAGCAUAAUUGUUUUAUGAAUAGGGAGUGCCUUUUCACAUACAUGACCUAUUAAUCAGCUUGAAAGGUUGUUCUGCAUCAUCAGCAAAGUGCCCAAUUAUUAGUAGUUAAAAGGUUCAGAAGAUGAUGGGAAUCGCUAUUUAUUUUAUAGUCUACUAACCUCCCUCAGAGCUCAUACUCUUUCUAACGCGACAGCUGGUUUUUGGGAAAACAAAGCUGAUCCAUGAGGGUACAAGGUGAAUGGCUAAGGAAGUAAUUUUGCUAUGGAAAAGAAAGUUGGAGGAAGAGUAGAACCUAGAAGAGUAGAACAGAGAAGUGAAGAUGUCUCGGGCAGCGGUUUGUGCGUGCGUGUGCAUAUAUGUAGUGCAUUAUAUUGCUUGAGAUAAAUGUAAAUGUGCAUUUUUCUUCCUAACUUUGGUGUUAUAUAAUGUAUUUACUUGUUUGUUUAUUGUCUGAUUCCCAAGGCCAGGGCUUUGUCUGUAUCAUUACUGCUGUAUCCCUGACAGCUGGAAGGUUCUUCCAAGUGUGCCCUGCCAUUUAGAUUUGCUGCAUCUCAAGCUCAACUCCAGCUCUUUCUACUUAUGUGCUAUAGAUCUGUCUCACCGUCUUCAUUUCAUGUCAUUUUAUUAUAUUUUCGUAUAUCACCUAGAUGUUAGUUAAGAACAUUUUUAAUGCUAGUAUAAUAUUUCUUUGUGGGGAUGUGCCAAUAUUCUUGUGCUCAUUUUCUUGUUGGACAUUGAAAACAUUCCUAAUGUUUCUUAAUGUAUUAGGUUGGUGCAAAAAUAAUAAUAAUUCUGGAUUAUACAUUUCAUAUAUAAAUCCUUACAUAUCCAAUUAUUCUCUUAGAAUAGAUUGCUAGAAGAGAAUUGCUGUGUCAAAGGCAACAAACUUUAAAAUGGUCUGUCUAUUAUCAAGUUGCUUUCCAAAGUGGAUAUAUUAAUUUCCUCUCCCAAUAGCAAUAGCUAAGAAUACUUAUAGUGUUGGGUGUCAUUAUUUUAAAAAAUCCUGGUUAAUUGAAAGGCAAAAAUUACACCUCAUGGUUUGAAAAUGCAUUCAUUUGAUCACCAGUGAGGCUCAAUACUUCCAGCAUUUUUAGCAGCUACACGUGGUUACCAUUUUGGAGCAUGAAUAUUGGUGAUUCAUCAGAAUUCUUUGUAUAUUAUGGGUAUUGAUUCUUUAUCUAUUAUAUUAUUUGUAAAAAGUUUGUCCCAGUUUUUCACAUUACUCAAUUUUCUUUAUGAUCACAGCUUACAAAACUUGUGGUUUUGUUUCUAUAAUUUGUAGUUAGAUAUAAUAAUCAUUUUUUAUUUCUGUAUUGCUAUUAUGAUCUGCAAAUUUUUACAUCCCUAGAUCAUUUUCAUCUCACCCAUAUUUUCUGUUUGUUUGUUUUUUCUGGUUUCUUUUUUACAGCCCACUCUUUACCUUAUCUGGAAUGGAUUUUUUUUUUAAACCUGAUAUAAUAUAGGCUCUUGACUUUCCCCCAAUUUUCUCAAUAUCCCAGUAUUAGCAAAUAGUCAUAUUACUCCUUAGUUUAUGAUACUUACAUUAUAUUAUAUUGAUGAUACUUUUUAUUUAUUAUAUUAUAUUUAUGAUACUUACAAUAUAUUACAUUGAUACUUGUCAUUAUAAUAAUAAAAUUAAUGUAUUUUUAUGUUAUAUACUAAGUUGUAUUUCAAGGCAAUCUAUUCCACUUGCCUUUUUAUAGAUAUAUCAACCAAUUACUAUAUAAUUUUAUUAAAAGUUUGUAAUACUCUUUUUUAAUCUGAAGGGAAAAGUAGCCUCAAUUAUUAUUAUUUUUCUCUGAAUAAGUCAACAUUGAGUAUAACUUGUAUUUGCAUAGAGGUCGUUUUUACUCUUAGCUGUUCAAGUGGAUGAAGAGAAUCUGUAUAGUGCUUUUAAAUUUAAAGCUCAUGGUGUUUCAAAUUAUCUUGGUAGUGUUAUCUCUCAUAAUUAAAUCUGCUCUAUAUAAAGAUAUAG